AGAGUUUGAUCCUGGCUCAGGAUGAACGCUAGCGGCAGGCUUAACACAUGCAAGUCGCGGGGUAACGAUGGUUUCGGCCAGGCGACGACCGGCGCACGGGUGAGUAACGCGUAUGCAACCUACCCUUUACUGGGGGAUAGCCCGGAGAAAUCCGGAUUAAUACCCCAUAGUACCAUAAGGUUUCAUGGCCUAAUGGAUAAAACUCAGGUGGUAAAGGAUGGGCAUGCGUGCCAUUAGCUAGUUGGUAAGGUAACGGCUUACCAAGGCUACGAUGGCUAGGGGUUCUAAAAGGAUGGUCCCCCACACUGGUACUGAGACACGGACCAGACUCCUACGGGAGGCAGCAGUGAGGAAUAUUGGUCAAUGGGUGAGAGCCUGAACCAGCCAUGCCGCGUGCAGGAUGACGGCCCUAGUGGUUGUAAACUGCUUUUAUACGGGAAUAAUCCCCGGGACGUGUCCCGGGUUGCAUGUACCGUAAGAAUAAGCAUCGGCUAACUCCGUGCCAGCAACCGCGGUAAUACGGAGGAUGCAAGCGUUAUCCGGAUUUAUUAGGUUUAAAGGGUGCGUAGGCCGUAAUGUAAGUCAGUGGUGAAAUCUUGGAGCUUAACUUCGAAACUGCCAUUGAUACUGCGUUACUUGAGUUAAGUUGAGGUAGGCGGAAUGUGUAAUGUAGCGGUGAAAUGCAUAGAGAUUACACAGAACACCGAUUGCGAAGGCAGCUUACUAAGCUUAAACUGACGCUAAUGCACGAAAGCGUGGGUAGCGAACAGGAUUAGAUACCCUGGUAGUCCACGCUGUAAACGAUGAGCACUCGCUGUUGGCGAUAUAUUGUCAGUGGCUGAGCGAAAGCAUUAAGUGCUCCACCUGGGGAGUACGUCGGCAACGAUGAAACUCAAAGGAAUUGACGGGGGCCCGCACAAGCGGUGGAACAUGUGGUUUAAUUCGAUGAUACGCGAGGAACCUUACCUGGGUUUAAAUUUAGUAUGACUUUAGCCGAAAGGUUAUUUCCCUUCGGGGCAUAUUAGAAGGUGCUGCAUGGCUGUCGUCAGCUCGUGCCGUGAGGUGUCGGGUUAAGUCCCAUAACGAGCGCAACCCCUAUCGUUAGUUGCCAACGGGUCAAGCCGGGGACUCUAACGAGACUGCCACCGUAAGGUGAGAGGAAGGUGGGGAUGACGUCAAGUCAGCACGGCCCUUACGUCCAGGGCUACACACGUGUUACAAUGGCCGGUACAAAGGGCAGCUAAAUAGUGAUAUUGUGCUAAUCUCGAAAACCGGUCUCAGUUCGGAUCGGAGUCUGCAACUCGACUUCGUGAAGCUGGAAUCGCUAGUAAUCGCGUAUCAGCAACGACGCGGUGAAUACGUUCCCGGGCCUUGUACACACCGCCCGUCAAGCCAUGGAAGCCGGGGGUACCUGAAGUCUGUAACCGCAAGGAGCGGCCUAGGGUAAAACUGGUGACUGGGGCUAAGUCGUAACAAGGUA
rnacentral:rRNA from 1 species